rnacentral:rRNA from 1 species
AUGGGGAUGGGUUCCCUCACAAUGUCCCUACCAGCUGCAAUUCUCCUCCUCCUUUACGGCAUUCGGCACAGCCAUGAUGAAGAGGGUUAUGGAGAAAAUGGAAAUGGUUUGUACAAGCCCCUGAACACAGAGACAGACGGUGAGGCAGCUGAUUCUGAGACUCAUCAGGUCACUCCCUUCGCUACUGCUGGUUUUUUCAGUGAGAUGUCAUUUUGGUGGUUGAAUCCUCUGAUGAAGAUGGGCUAUGAGAAUCCCCUUGAGGACAAAGACAUGCUUCUUUUAGGCGCCACAGAUCGAGCGCAAAACCAGUACUCGAUGCUCAUGGACAAGCUGAAUUGCAAGAAGCAGUCGCCGUCACAGGCCACACCAUCACUCUUCUGGAUUAUUGUUUCUUGUCACAAGCGUGCCAUCGUGGUCUCGGGUUUCUUUACUUUGCUCAAGGUUCUCACCUUAUCUACAGGCCCAAUAAUUCUCAAGGCAUUCAUCAAUGUAUCACUUGGGAAAGGGACCUUUAAAUACGAAGGCUAUGCGCUGGCUGCAUUAUUGUUUGUCUGCAAAUGUUGUGAAUCAUUGUCGGAGAGACAGUGGUAUUUCCGCACUCGGAGAUUAGGACUGCAGGUGAGAUCACUCCUGUCAGCAGCUAUUUAUAAGAAACAACAGAAGCUAUCAAAUGCAGCAAAAACGAAGCACUCUUCUGGACAAAUUAUGAACUAUGUGACCGUCGAUGCCUAUCGGAUUGGGGAAUUCCCAUAA